CUGGAAUAAUGUAGCAAGUGGUAGUAACCAAAAUAUCUCGAGCAUUUAUUUCACGGGGAAUAACAGGGAUAGGAUAAUGUUUUUGGCUAUUCUCUCCUGGAUAGGAGUAGAAUAAUUUUGGGUGAAUCUGGAUAUGGAAAUGAGUGGAUGUAUGUGGAUGCGUACUUCCGGAGUAGAAGCAGCAUGUAUGAGUGAACGUGCAAGUGAAUCUUGAUUUUAACCGCAUGACAAGCUCCUAAGGGUCUACAUAGCUUGACCACACUCAAUGCUCAUAAGUAGUAAAAAGUAAAUGUAUGGUUCAUAGU
rnacentral:lncRNA from 1 species